rnacentral:rRNA from 1 species
UAGGGAAUCUUCGGCAAUGGGGGCAAACCCUGACCGAGCAACGCCGCGUGAGUGAAGAAGGUUUUCGGAUCGUAAAGCUCUGUUGUAAGAGAAGAACGUGUGUGAGAGUGGAAAGUUCACACAGUGACGGUAACUUACCAGAAAGGGACGGCUAACUACGUGCUAG